GACGAACGCUGGCGGCGUGCUUAACACAUGCAAGUCGAACGGAAAGGCCCUUCGGGGUCCUCGAGUGGCGAACGGGUGAGUAACACGUGGGUGAGCGGCCCUGCACUUUGGGAUAAGCCUGGGAAACUGGGUCUAAUACCGAAUAGGACCACGCGCUUCAGGGUGGGUGGGGGAAAGCUUUUGCGGUGUGGGAUGGGCCCGCGGCCUAUCAGCUUGUUGGUGGGGUAAUGGCCUACCAAGGCGACGACGGGUAGCCGGCCUGAGAGGGGGACCGGCCACCCUGGGCCUGCGAUACGGCCCAGACUCCUACGGGCGGCAGCAGUGGGGAAUCUUGCACAAUGGGCGCACGCCUGAUGCAGCGACGCCGCGUGCGGGAUGCCGGCCUUCGGGUUGUAAACCUCUUUCAAUAGGGCCGAAGCGCACGUGACGGUACCUAUAGAAGAAGCACCGGCCAACUACGUG
rnacentral:rRNA from 1 species